CUGCAGCCAAUUAUGUCAACCACACUCAGACCCUAUGUGGUGUAGCCUGAUGUGCAGUGGCUGCUGACAGCGGCCUGUCAGUACUGUAUGCAGCUUGGUGCUCGUGUGAGCUACCCUGAGAGCUGUCGGAGAAACGC
ensembl:snoRNA SNORA70 Small nucleolar RNA SNORA70